UACGAGGGGGGCAAGCGUUGUUCGGAAUUAUUGGGCGUAAAGGGCGCGUAGGCGGUGUCGCAAGUCCGUGGUGAAAUCUCUAGGCUCAACUUAGAGACUGCCGCGGAAACUGCGAUGCUUGAGUGUGGGAGAGGUGCGUGGAAUUCCCGGUGUAGCGGUGAAAUGCGUAGAUAUCCGGAGGAACCCCAGGGGCGAAGGCGACACGCUGGGCCGUACCUGACGCUAAAGCGGGACAGCAUGGGGAGCAAACGGG
rnacentral:rRNA from 1 species